rnacentral:rRNA from 1 species
AGUGUGUGUGUUAGUGGAAGCGUCUGGAAAGGCGCGCGAUACAGGGUGACAGCCCCGUACACAAAAAUGCACAUGCUGUGAGCUCGAUGAGUAGGGCGGGACACGUGGUAUCCUGUCUGAAUAUGGGGGGACCAUCCUCCAAGGCUAAAUACUCCUGACUGACCGAUAGUGAACCAGUACCGUGAGGGAAAGGCGAAAAGAACCCCGGCGAGGGGAGUGAAAAAGAACCUGAAACCGUGUACGUACAAGCAGUGGGAGCACGCUUAGGCGUGUGACUGCGUACCUUUUGUAUAAUGGGUCAGCGACUUAUAUUCUGUAGCAAGGUUAACCGAAUAGGGGAGCCGAAGGGAAACCGAGUCUUAACUGGGCGUUAAGUUGCAGGGUAUAGACCCGAAACCCGGUGAUCUAGCCAUGGGCAGGUUGAAGGUUGGGUAACACUAACUGGAGGACCGAACCGACUAAUGUUGAAAAAUUAGCGGAUGACUUGUGGCUGGGGGUGAAAGGCCAAUCAAACCGGGAGAUAGCUGGUUCUCCCCGAAAGCUAUUUAGGUAGCGCCUCGUGAAUUCAUCUCCGGGGGUAGAGCACUGUUUCGGCAAGGGGGUCAUCCCGACUUACCAACCCGAUGCAAACUGCGAAUACCGGAGAAUGUUAUCACGGGAGACACACGGCGGGUGCUAACGUCCGUCGUGAAGAGGGAAACAACCCAGACCGCCAGCUAAGGUCCCAAAGUCAUGGUUAAGUGGGAAACGAUGUGGGAAGGCCCAGACAGCCAGGAUGUUGGCUUAGAAGCAGCCAUCAUUUAAAGAAAGCGUAAUAGCUCACUGGUCGAGUCGGCCUGCGCGGAAGAUGUAACGGGGCUAAACCAUGCACCGAAGCUGCGGCAGCGACGCUUAUGCGUUGUUGGGUAGGGGAGCGUUCUGUAAGCCUGCGAAGGUGUGCUGUGAGGCAUGCUGGAGGUAUCAGAAGUGCGAAUGCUGACAUAAGUAACGAUAAAGCGGGUGAAAAGCCCGCUCGCCGGAAGACCAAGGGUUCCUGUCCAACGUUAAUCGGGGCAGGGUGAGUCGACCCCUAAGGCGAGGCCGAAAGGCGUAGUCGAUGGGAAACAGGUUAAUAUUCCUGUACUUGGUGUUACUGCGAAGGGGGGACGGAGAAGGCUAUGUUGGCCGGGCGACGGUUGUCCCGGUUUAAGCGUGUAGGCUGGUUUUCCAGGCAAAUCCGGAAAAUCAAGGCUGAGGCGUGAUGACGAGGCACUACGGUGCUGAAGCAACAAAUGCCCUGCUUCCAGGAAAAGCCUCUAAGCAUCAGGUAACAUCAAAUCGUACCCCAAACCGACACAGGUGGUCAGGUAGAGAAUACCAAGGCGCUUGAGAGAACUCGGGUGAAGGAACUAGGCAAAAUGGUGCCGUAACUUCGGGAGAAGGCACGCUGAUAUGUAGGUGAAGUCCCUCGCGGAUGGAGCUGAAAUCAGUCGAAGAUACCAGCUGGCUGCAACUGUUUAUUAAAAACACAGCACUGUGCAAACACGAAAGUGGACGUAUACGGUGUGACGCCUGCCCGGUGCCGGAAGGUUAAUUGAUGGGGUUAGCCGCAAGGCGAAGCUCUUGAUCGAAGCCCCGGUAAACGGCGGCCGUAACUAUAACGGUCCUAAGGUAGCGAAAUUCCUUGUCGGGUAAGUUCCGACCUGCACGAAUGGCGUAAUGAUGGCCAGGCUGUCUCCACCCGAGACUCAGUGAAAUUGAACUCGCUGUGAAGAUGCAGUGUACCCGCGGCAAGACGGAAAGACCCCGUGAACCUUUACUAUAGCUUGACACUGAACAUUGAGCCUUGAUG